UACGUAGGGUGCGAGCGUUGUCCGGAAUUACUGGGCGUAAAGAGCUCGUAGGUGGUUUGUCGCGUUGUUCGUGAAAACUCACAGCUCAACUGUGGGCGUGCGGGCGAUACGGGCAGACUAGAGUACUGCAGGGGAGACUGGAGUUCCUGGUGUAGCGGUGGAAUGCGCAGAUAUCAGGAGGAACACCGGUGGCGAAGGCGGGUCUCUGGGCAGUAACUGACGCUGAGGAGCGAAAGCUAGGGGAGCAAACGGG
rnacentral:rRNA from 1 species